rnacentral:tRNA from 1 species
AAGGAUUUAAGUUAAAUGAAACUCUUGACCUUCAAAGCCAAAAAUAGAUAAUUAAUCUAAGCCUUA